GGAGAGAUGGCCGAGUGGUUUAAGGCGCUAGUCUUGAAAACUAGUGAUGCGAAAGCACCGUGGGUUCAAAUCCUACUCUCUCCGCCA
rnacentral:tRNA from 1 species